rnacentral:rRNA from 1 species
GACGAACGCUGGCGGCGUGCUUAACACAUGCAAGUCGAGCGGAAAGGCCCUUCGGGGUACUCGAGCGGCGAACGGGUGAGUAACACGUGAGUAACCUGCCCCAGGCUUUGGGAUAACCCUCGGAAACGGGGGCUAAUACCGGAUAUUCACUUCUGACGGCAUCGUUGGUGGUGGAAAGUUUUCGGUUCUGGGAUGGGCUCGCGGCCUAUCAGCUUGUUGGUGGGGUGAUGGCCUACCAAGGCGACGACGGGUAGCCGGCCUGAGAGGGCGACCGGCCACACUGGGACU